rnacentral:lncRNA from 1 species
UGGGCCAAGCUUCCUGGCUGAAGUCUAGCCGUAAGGGUAUAGGGGUUUAUACCCCCACAUAGACUCAGCUAUGGAUCAUAAGUUGUUGCAAUAUUUUAAAAAAUGACGGUACAUGCUUUUUAAAUAAGAUGUUAUCUCUGAGUUAGAGUAAACUAUCAAGACUUAAAAUUUACUUACUUUACCUUCACCAUGGGACUUGUAACUGUCACUUCUGUCUUGAGUGGUCAAAAGAUAGAACAGUCUAGCCAAGUGCCAUGUCUCUUAUUCUUGAUCAGCUAUAGCUCUGGGGUUUUUUGCAGAUUUUCAAAUAAAACUCAGAGAUUCCUUGUAUGAUUCUCUCAGAUCUCUCUUUUGUGGUAUUUCUGGAUCCUUACCAAGGCAGUGAUGGUAUAUGCCUUCUCUCAGGAUAUGUGGUAGUUGUGGUAUAAGGCAUAGUGACAUUGCCUUCUCUCUCACCCUACUCUAAUAAGGCUUUAAUAUCUGGAGCUCAUAGGUAGGAGAUAAAAUAUACAUACUUAUAAGACAUUUAUUGCAUAGUCAAACCAUGGAUCCAAAGAAACAAAUCAAUAAGCCAAAUCAAGAUGUGCAUGUGUGGCGAAUGAAUGGUGUAUGGUGAUGAUGGUGAUAACAAUGGUGAAAACAAUGGUGGUGGAAGUCUAAUUCUACUUUUGCUCUUUUGAGGGGAUACAUACCUUUCUUGCUUUUUGAAACUUUGUGAGGAGAAUGAGAUGCUCUUCUUUUUCUUUCCUCUCAGGUGGGUAUCUUGUACCCCUAAUUCUACUGUCGGACACUUGUCCAUUUUUACCUCUCGUCUCAAUUUUUCUUUUCUUUCGAGGUUCCGAGCACUUGCUCAUUUUUAUUUCCUCAUAUUUAUUUUUUCUCUUUUUUUUAUUAAGCACUCAUCUCUUGAGAUAAUAUAGCAAGUGGUAGUAACAAGAUAACUUGAGCAUUUAUUUCACAAGGGAAAAAUUGAGAUAUUUUUGGCUAUUCUCUCCCGGAUUAGGAGUAGAAUAUUUUUAGGGUGAUUCUGGAGAUGGAAAUGGGUGGAUAUAUGUGAUGGUACUUUCGGAAUAGAAGUAGCAUAUAUGAGUGAACGUGCAAGUGAAAUCUUGAUUUAACCACAUGACAAGCUCCUAAGGGUCUACACAGCUUGACCACACUCAAUGCUCAUAAGCAGUAAAUAGUAAAUGUGUGGUUCAAAGUCUAGCAAGCAUGUAUAUAUGGCUGUGGUAGGAAUUUAAACUCUCAUUAUACCAGAACUCAUCAUGCAACAUUUUAAAGAUUUUCAAAGAUAAAAUUCUCCAGAAUUCUAGCAUCUCUAGGAACAGAUAAAUAGCAGCUCAACCUUCCCAUAUCGUAUCCGUUAACAACUCAGACUUCAGAUCAAGUUUUCAUCCCACAAGUUUAGGUCUAGAGCAAGCUUUGAAUUAUAACAAUUAUAUCUAAUCUUCAGAGAGAACUUAAAAUGUGCAAAUUAGGCAGAGCAACUAUUCAUCAUAUCCAUGCUAGAGUUUUAUUGUUAAGAUACAGAUUAGCGUAGCCACUUUAUUUAUUUAUUAAACACACUAAGCAAAAGAUAUAUAUAUAUAUAUAUAAGCAUAAAAUCUUUAUUUGGUUUUUCAUAGUUAUGUAUAUUUAUAUUCUAAAAUAAUAUAAGUAUAAAGAUAGAUAGAUAGAAAUACUUAUCAAGAUAAAUGGGGGUGCUCUCCCCCAAGCUGAAUUUUGACGUAAUGUCUCUUGAUGUAGCUAGCAGGUGGCAGAGGUGUAUUUGAAAGUCAGCAGGAUUCUGACAGUGAUUAGAAUGUCCUCCGUCUGCCAGUCUUCUUGAUUCUUAAAUUCUGUGGAGUUCAAAUAGACAACAAAGCUUGUGGAACUGGUUAAGUGUUAGCGUAAAUAUCUAGCCUUUAUCAUGUUGAGACUCCUUAAUAAAUAUUACUCCCUGUUUUCAUUUUCAUUUUUAUAAAGUAGAAAAAUAUUUAUUUUAUUUUUAUGCCACCACAAUGAAUGUACUUAUAGGUUUUAUGCCACUCGUAUACUCACAUGGGGCUUACUGUUUUUUCAUAUUUUUUUAUUUUCUUUUUAGGAUAGCAUGAUUAACUAAGGAAACUGUUUAAAAUAAUUGAAAGGGAAAGGAUAACUACCAAGUUUACCUCUUGGUAAGGCGUUCGGUGUUUUUAAGUCCUCCGAACGGGACUCUCCAUUUUCUCAAUUGUCCUGAGGUUCGUUGGGUGGCAUAGUCGGUACUUCCGGCAGCGCCUCCUCUUCAUGUAUAAUUAUCUUCAUUUUCCAUACCUGACUCAGUGCUUCGAUCUCCUCUGGAUAAUUCUGUUUAAACUCUACGUCUUCUGACCUUAUAACUUCUCCUUCAUAGUCUGCCCAUCCGUCCUUGAUGAUUUGCCUCCUCUGGUUGCGGUUGCGUCGCUUUCUUACCUGCUUAAAUUCUUCAAUGAUAUAGUUAGGGUCAGUAAAAUAACGGCGCACCUUUUCUGAGGGGAAGUGCAUAUGGACUUCUCCGGUUCCAAUGUAGAUAAUUGCUUUAACGGUGCUGAGGAACGGUCUUUCAAGGAUAAUGGGUGGAUCAUACUCGUCUUCUCCCAUGUUAAUAACUUGAAAGUCUGUGUAGACAAAGUGAUCGUCUAUUUUGACUGGGACAUCAGUUACUAUUCCUUUAACUUCUCGAAAUGUCUGAUCUACCAUCUAGAGCUGAAUGUAUGUUGGUCUUAGUGGCAUGGUUCCGAACAAGAGCCGAUAGGUAACUGUGGCCAUUAUGUUGACGCCCGAUCCGGUGUCACAAGUUGCCUUGUAGAAGUUGUAUCCAUUUAUGGAGCAGUAGAUGCUUGGCAUUCGUGGGUCGUCCUUCUUGGUCAAAAGCGGUGACUUAAGUUGGUGAUCUUGGCCUCCAUGAACUUUUGUGACCAUCUUAGCUGACUCGGUCCACACUUGCUUGUUCCUGUUCCUCCUGUUAGUCCUAUUCCUUGAUUCACGUCUGGAUUGAUCUGGAAUUUGUGUAGUCUUGUUCUUGAAGAAAAAUGUCUCCUUCCUCCCUUUGACGUAGAAACUGAUCUUGGCAGCACUUGCGUAGAUGAUAGCUCCCGUGGUGUUUAAGAAUGGCCUCCCUAAGAUGAUGGAUGCCCUCUCAUCAUUUCCGGUCUCUACCACUACGAAGUCUGCUAGAGCAUAUAAGGUACCAACUCAGACACAAAGGUUCUUCAAUAUUCCUUUUGGAAAAGUUAUCGUCUGAUCUGCAAACUGCAAACACAUGGUUGUCUCUAAUAAAGCAUAUGUAAAGAAUUUCUCAUAGAGUACCCUGGGUAUAAUGUUGACGCUAGAGCCAAAGUCACAGAGUGCUUCUGGGACGUCCACCAUGCCGAUGGAGAUCGGGAUGACGGGGCGUCCUAGAUCGCCUCUCUGUACCGGCAGAAGGUCAGUAGAGAAUUCAGUGACGGGGUUACUCCAAUUAUUACCUACAUCAAACAUGUCUACAAGAUUUCCAGAUUCUAAUCCUUUCGGUUGUGAUGGUAUACCGGGGUUAGUAACAGGAACAACAGCAGUUAUUUGAUUUAACUGAGAUUCAAUCAUUUUAUUAAAGCUAAUUUGAUUCUUGAUGGCAGUAGAGAAAUUAUCCAUUCUAUUAUUUAUAUUUUCCAACAUUUUAUCAUUAGAUGCCAAUUUCUUAGAUAGGUUAUCCAUUAGCUUUCCUUGAUUAGACACUAACUCUCUCAAAGGUGCAAAAUUAUUAUUAUUGUUGUAAGAAUUGUUACCUUGAUAAUUACCUGAGUAGUUAGGCCUCUGUUGAUUCCAACCUUGAUUUUGUUGAGGACGGUUGUAGUUGUUGUUGUUGUUGUUGUUGAUGAUGAUGUAGUUCACAUCCUCAAAUAUCUCAGGGCAGUGGUUGCCUGAGUGUCCAGUGUCUCCACACUCCUCACAAGUCAUGUGAGAGUCGUAGAUGUGCAUAACUUCUUUCUUGUCUCCAGCUCUAUCAUCGAGCUUCUUCAUGAGUAGAUCUAGCUUUGCAGACAACAUGUCUACCUCCUUCAGCUGAUGCAUACCUCCACCUCUCUUGCGUGUCUGGGUCCUCUCUUCAUUCCAGCUUUGAUUGGACGCCAUCUUCUCCACAAGAGCUGUGGCUUGUGGUAUAGUAAGUGAUAAGAAUGCUCCUCCAGCUGCAGCAUCCAUGGUCUCUCGGGUACUAUUGCCGAGCCCAUGAUAAAAUGUCUGCAUCAAUAGCCAACUCUCCAUUCUAUGAUGGGGACAUUCUAGGAUGUAGUCUUGAAAGCACUCCCAUGCUUCUGGAACAGAUUCAUCAUUUUGUUACUAAAAACUUGUAAUCUUCCCACGGAGAGCAUUGGUCUUGCCCAUGGGAAAGAACUUUGCCAGGAAGUUUGUUGAGCAGAGUGCCCAGGUAGUAUUCUUCUCCUUUGUAGCGUAAAACCACUGCUUCGCUCUUCCUAACAGUGAGAAUGGGAAGAGGCGAAGUAGUAUAGCAUCUUUGGAAACUCCUGAUAUGGUGAAUGUGUUGCAAUUCUCCAGGAAGUGUUGUAAAUGAGCACUAGCAUCUUCGUGUGCCUUCCCACAGAACUGGUUGGAUUGCACCAUGUUGAUAAGUCCAGGCUUGAGCUCAAAGUUGUCGUCGAUCUCUGCAGCAGGUCCAGUGCGGAUGUUGUCCGUAGUGGGAGCUGAGAACUCGCGGAUUGAUUUGUUCGCCAUGGCUUCGAACUCUGAAGACAAGUUUCGGUGAUCUUCUUGAUUGGAUGAAGCUUCUUGCUGAAGUGUUGAUGAUCUCUUCUUGAGCUUGGCUCUCGUCCUCUUGAAUAAUGCUUCGGGAUUGUCAACAAAAUUUCCUGGAAGAUGUCUUCUAUUCAUACAUUCCCCUGCAUAAGAUAAAAUAGAAAAAUAUCGGGGUAAAACUGUAUGAGAGAAUAGAUAAGCUCAAUCAUAUUAGUGAUGCGAAUGAUAACUCAAAAUCCUUUAUUCCAUUCCUGAUUAGUAAUCAACCUUCCCCGGCAACGGCGGCAAAAAUGCUUGUUGGGUAUUCUUAACAUCAUUACCAAAAGUAGACAAAGUUCUCUAAAUCUAGUAACGGUGCCAAAAAUGCCAAACCUAUCCCUCACACCACUUAAGCCAAGUUGCCAUCCCCAGCAUGAUAUAAGAGACGCGGUAUUGAAAUAUGCAAUUGCUCUUCUAAAUAAAUAAUGAAUGAGAUCUGCAAGCGCACAGAUUAAUACCGAUGUAGCAUUUUAACCGGGAAGUAUUCUAGGUACCGUUAUUUAUAUUUUUACCAUUGGGAAGAGAUUAGCAAUCAUCAAUAUUGAUUACAGAAUAGAAUAUGAGAUUGAGCAUCUAUCAUUGCACGUAUAAUUGAGAACAUUAUAUCUAACUCUUCAUACAGGGAUAAAUGUCACAUAAAAGAUAUAUGAAAUAAUAAUAGUGACAAGGAUAACUAAUCUGAUCUAGCCACAUAAUAAAUAUGAUAAGCACCUCAAUUAGAUACUCUAGAAAGUCAUUAGCAUGGUAUUAGAACGAACUACAAGAAUAUUCCCUAAGUUAUUCUCAACUAUAUAGUCUAGCAUAUCAUAGUUAGUGCAAGCAUACUUAGCAAUCAUUGUGAGACAAGACUACGCCCAUGCAUAGUGAUAUUAGCAAGGAAUAUGAGAAACAUAGCAAUCACUCCCCGGUAAUAAUGUUGCUCUGCCAGCCCAAUACACGAGAGGGGGACUAUAUAAGAAUCAAUGAAGUUGUCACUAUCAUGAACCACCCCACGAUCUGGCAUAUUGGGUACAAUCGCAGAUAAAUACGGUAUAAGCACCACACCUACACAAUAUCUAUCAUUUACCCAUGGAUCCGAUGGAUAAACGCUAUACGAUCCUAAGCAUGUAUAUAGAUCCAAUCUAACUAAGCCAAGUACAUAACUAUGAUAAACCAAGAACAAUAUAAUAUUGAAUAUAAGCAAGUAGAGCAAAGUCAUAAGCAAUAUAUUGAAGUAGAACAAAGUCAUAUUCAUAAUAUUGAAGAACAGAGAUAAUUAGAAAGUAAUUAUAAGCACAAUUAGAGAAUUACCAAGAAUCCUCCUGACAGAUCCGGAAACCAAUCGAAGAUUGACUCCUUCUAGUUCUAAUCCUAUGUAGCUAUGCUAAUCUAGAUAUCUAAUUGAUGUGGUGGCUCUAAUCUUGAUCAGAGGCUUCUUCUCCCUUGAAGAACAAUGAAUUAGGGUUGAGAGGCUCUCUCCUCCAGGGGACAGGGGGUCUGGUUUUAUAGUCCCUUCAAGUGAAUAUGGGCCGUUGGAUCAAACCAACAUAGAUUGUAUGGUUUAGAUUCAUCCUUUAGGUCGGUGGAGAUCUCCCAUGAAGUAGAGUCCUGAUUGGACUCCCAGAGGGGGCGGGCGCCCAGGGUAGGAGGUCGGGCGCCCUGCCUCUGGCCCCGUUUCGCCUCCGCUUCGGUCUCGUGGCUUCUGGAGUCUUCUAGAUGUAAGAUAAUUGCGCGGCACAUUAAUAUCUCUAUGUAAUCCCGACGUGUGGGCCUUUCNNNNNNNNNNNNNNNNNNNNNNNNNNNNNNNNNNNNNNNNNNNNNNNNNNNNNNNNNNNNNNNNNNNNNNNNNNNNNNNNNNNNNNNNNNNNNNNNNNNNGUUAUCAGGAAAUAUGGAAGAAAGGCCCACAUGUUGGGAUUACAUAGAGAUAUCAACGUGCCGCGCAAUUAUCUUACAUCUAGAAGACUCCAGAAGCCACGGGAAGGAAGCGGAGGCCGAACGGAGCCAGGCACUAGGCGCCCGCCCAGUUGACCUGGGCGCCCACCCACCUCUGGAGUCCAAUCAGGACUCUCUUUUGGGAAAGAUCUCCACCGACCUAAAGGAUCAAGGAUAACCGUUCAAUCAAUGUCGGUUUGAUCCAACGGCCCAUAUUCACUUGAAGGGACUAUAAAACCAGACCCCGUGGCCCCUGGAGGAGGGAGCCUCUCAACCCUAAUUCAUUAUUCUCAAGGGAGAAGAAGCCUCUGAUCAAGCCUAGAGCCUCCACAUCAAUUAGACAUCUAGAUUAGCAUAGCUACAUAGGAUUAGAACUAGAAGGAGUCAAUCUUCGAUUGGUUUCCGGAUCUGUCAAGAGGAUUCUUGGUAAUUCUCUAAUUGUUCUUCUAAUUGUUCUUCUAAUCAUCUUUGUUCUUCAAUAUUAUGAAUAUGACUUUGUUCUACUUCAAUAUAUUGCAUAUGACUUUGCUCUACUUGUUUAUAUUCAAGAUUAUAUUGUUCUUUGUUUAUCAUAGUUACGUACUUGGCUUAGUUAGAUUGGAUUUAUAUACAUAUUUAGGAUCGUAUAGCGUUUAUCUAUGUGUACAGUGGGUAAAUGAUCAGUAUUGUGUAGGCAUGGUACCUAUACCGUAUUUAUCUGCGAUUGUACCCAAUAUGCCAGAUCGUGGGGUAGUUCGUGAUAGUGACAGCUUCAUUUAUUCUUAUAUAGUCCCCCUCUCGUGUAUUGGGCUGGCAGAGCAAUAUUAUUACAGGGGAGUGAUUGCUAUGUUUCUCAUUUACCUUGCUAAUAUCACUAUGCAUGGGUGUAGUCUUGUCUCACAAUGAUUGCUAAGUAUACUUGCACUAACUAUGAUAAUGCUAGACAAUAUAGUUGAGAAUAACUUAGGAAAUAUUCUUGUAGUUUGUUCUAAUUCCAUGCUAAUGACUCUCUAGAGUAUCUAAUUGAGGUGCUUAUCAUAUUUAUUAUGUGGCUAAGUUAUGCUGAUCAGAUUAAUUAUCUUUGUCACUAUUCAUUACUUCAUAUAUCUUUUAUGUGACACUUAUCCUUGUAUGAAAGAGUUAGAUAAAUGUUCUCAAUUAUACAUGCAAUGAUAGAUACUCAAUCUCAUAUUCCAUUCUGUAAUCAAUAUUGAUGAUUGCUAAUCCCUUCCCAGUGGUAAAAAUAUAAAUAACGAUACCUGGAAUACUUCCCGAUUAAAAUGCUACAUCGGUAUUAAUCUAUGCGCUUGCAGAUCCCAUUCAUUAUUUAUUUAGAAGAGCAAUUGCAUAUUUCAAUACCACGUCUCUCAUGUCAUGCUGGGGAUGACAACUUGGCUUAAGUGGUAUUAGGGAUAGGUUUGGCAUUUUUGGCACCGUUAUCAGAUUUAGAAAACUUAGUCUACUUUUGGUAAUGAUGUUAAGAAUACCCAACAAUGAGCUAAUUAGAUUGGAUCAAAUGAGAUUAUAACUCAAAGCAUGUUUCAAAUGCCAAAAUCAAGGAGGAUAUUUUGGAAGUAAUGAUCACUUACCAAGAGAUGUUACCUUUAGUAUUGGAGCAAGUUGAAGCUGUAACAUCUUGUGGAAACUUUCCUUGCUUGGCUAUCAUGUCUCCUUUGUUGUACUCCUUUCUUGCCAUUAUUUGUUCUCUGUCUUAUUUGUGCUUGGACCUUUAGCUCUUCUUAUUAUUUUAUCCCUACAAAUCAUUAGUGGACAACACAUACCUAAAGGAGUAUACAAGUAAUGACAAGAGCAUUGUUGUAACACAAAGCUAAGGGUCACUUCCUAUGCUACAAAAGAAAUUGUUUUAACAUACUUAGCAUAGCAUAUUUAUUAUUCACAAUUAAUUAUUUCUAAAGGAUUGAUUUAAUUUUUUCAUAGAAAUAAUGUAAUAGUAAAUUUAGAUUGCAAACCAGCGUGUGGAUCGAUGAGGAAGAACUUGGUUGGAUCAUCUGGAGGAGUUGACCUUCUCUUCCUCAUGUCUCACCUUCUCAACCUCAGAGGUGAGAGUGCAGAACGUUGCAUGCUUUUCUCUUGUCAUUCUUUUCUUGAUUCCUGGUAAUUAGUGGUUGACAAGAGAAUGCAACUCCAUGGAGUGAGUGCUUUGAUCAUGGAUCAUGUUUUGUGGCACCAUUCUUUCUAUUUGGCUACGCGUGAGUUGUGUCUCCCUUCAUCUCUAGUAUGAGUUCAUCUUAGGACUGUCCCAAUUUAUAUUUGAAAUUUUCCUACAGGGGUUAGUCCAACAAAAAUAUUCCAAUAUAUACUAUAGCGUACUAUCAGCUCAAAAAUCAACCUAGACACCAUGUCUAAUUUGAUUCAAGAAGGCAUUUUAACCUAAGCACCAUGCUUAAUUUAAAAAUCCUUUUGAAUGUAAGAUCACCAUUCCUAAACUAGGCAGCAUGCUUCAUUUAAGAGAUGGAUGAAACUACUUCAAAGCCUAUGCAUACUAUAGCAAACAAAGGUAGCAUGAGAGCAUUAUAGAGAUUUACUCAAUAGUGAUGACAGAGUAUGAUUGCAGUAAGAAAUAUUGUUAUAUUUUUAGAUGUAGAUGAAUUGUGUGCAACUAUGCAUGCAAGGAACUAAUCAUGAUGUGGAUGAGAAAACUAAAUGAAGUGGAUGCAUGGAUGAUUCAAAGUAAACAUGCAGUGGUAUGCAAGAAAAUAAAAAAAUAAAAAUAUAACUACUCAUAACGUUUAAAGCCCAUGAGUAAGACUAUGUCACCUUGAUCACACUUACCUCUAUGCAUGACUGUGAUGAGUGGCGUAGCGUAAAUACCCAUCACAUGUGAUGGGCGUUGUACUCUUGUGACGACGACGUUUUCUCCAAUCUACACAUGGUUAGAAUAAAUAAUAUAUAUGUGUAUACACAAACCUAUGAGAUGGCAGGGUUCCAGAAUGAUGGAUCUUGAAUUUUGAAGCACCCUGGGUUCUUCGAUCUUGUGGAAUCUUGACACAAGGUUGAAGCAGCAUCUGAUGUCCUGUCUAUUCCACACUCAACAAAACAAAGGGGGUAAUCCUACUAACACUAGUGGAAUACUAAAUUAGCAUAUAUCAAGAGUAAUAUCAAAACCUCUACGCCAAUUGACUCCGCGGCAACGGCGCCAAAAGUACUUGUUGGUAUUUCUUAUGCACAAUUAAAAUAUGAAGGAUUCCGCAAGCGCACAUAAGACCAUUUUAGCAUUUUACCGAGAGUAUUCUAGGUAUCGUUAUUUAUAUUUUGCCAUCAUGUAUCUACUAACUAAUACAGCAACUAGACUUAAAGUAGGGGUAAAUAAUAAAUGAUAGGAAUUUUGCAUAUAUGACACACACCAGAGAAUUCUUAUGAUAAAAGAGUAGAUAGCUAAAGUAAGAGGACAAUGGGAGAGUUUAAGGUUCCUAAAUACUUCUCUAUUACUAGGGUUCUAUAAUAACUAAUUCAUGGUAGGUAAAGCAAUCACACAAUAACACUUCGGCACAUCAGAGCACUUAGCCAGAGACAGAUGAGAAGGGGGCUAGGACGGUCUGACUACGAUCCUACAACACCAAUCCAAAUGUGGUGGAAUACGUCGGCCGUCAUGGCUGUCACCACCUGGGGAUACCACAACUAUCCGUAGAACUGGGUGCAAUCUCAAGUAACCUAUAGUCUAGACACCAUGUCUCUACUACAAAUUACUACUCUAGUCACAAUUAAUAACUAGAGCACCCGAUGCGGGCGGAGAUCCUAUGCUAAAGUGUAACAACUAUACUAACCAAUCAAAUGUAAUGCAUAAAAGUAAAUAGAGAAGAUGAAAUGUAUUAAAGCAUAAGUCUUAAAAGAAAAGAUACAAAGAUAUACCAGAACUCUGAUGACUCCUCUAAAGACUCCUCCAGAAGACUCCUCCGGAACCUAGGCGUAGCGCGGCUCUCCCUAACUCUCAACUAGAACUAAUCUACUACAUUGGAAAGUUUAGGCUUAAUUCUCUAGAGGUGAGAGGUCAUCCAUUUGAGGGACACCUCUAUAUCUCCAUAAUGUGGUGCCGCCAGGGAUGGGGGUCUGCCUCUUUAUUUAUAGCCUUGAAAAGCCUCCCACCUCUUCUUGACAGGCGAUGUCGGACUAAUUCUUCCACCGUUUGCUCUGUUGGGCUAUUAUAUAUUAACUUGGGCCUUCCAAUCAUUUCUCAUGUGAGCCCACUCAAGGGAGCAGCUUGGGGCGCCUCUCUUGGUGCUCUAUCAUGUCAUAUGAGCCUCUUCUCACGUCAUAGGUCUUGCUUGGGCGUGAGGCCCAUUAGUGGUAAUUCUCCUGUAUUUGUAAAAUUAAUAUCUUUCCACUUCGGACUCCAAAUAUAGCAAAUGAUAUGUCCGUUUUGAUCGUCAAAACAAGCCCGUCACAAUGAUGUAGUCCAAAUCAUCAUUCGACGUACUUUUAUUUGAUGGAAAAUUGUAUAUUCCCACAAAACAAGUGAGAACACCAAAACUCAUGGAACUCGUUAGAAUCAAACCCUACAACUAUGAUUUAUGGUUGAUAUCAUGUUAUAUUGAGCAAUAGUUGAUGGUAUAAAAUAGGCAUUAAGGACCGUCAACAACCCUACAUGGCGAAUAAUGCGACAAGUAACUCACUAUCUCUAGAAGAGCGGAAUGUCUUAUCCCAUUUGGAGCCUACUUGCAUGUAGAGCGAUUCCCGUAAGUCUUCUGGUGUAGUCGCCCAAGACAUUAUUGCUGAUAGUAGAUAACUCCUAAUUUUAAUCAUCAACUAGUCAUGAAAAUGGAUCUAUAUGCAAAACAUCUAGUAGUUAUAGGGUUAUCACUGACAGAAUUUCAUGAGUUUUAGUGAAUGACUAUUUCUGUAGGGUAUCAGCUGCAAAUAACCAAAGAUGGUCCACAUGUCAGGUUUACAUAGAGAGAAUACUGUGAACUCCAACUCAGGAGUAAUCUAGAAGGUUCGAGGAGGCUCCAGAUCGAAUGAGCAGUGAAUCGGGUCCGAGUGACGGGUGGCCGCUUGAAGGGCAUGGGCGCCCGCCCAGAGAACUCAGCCAAUCAAGGUGAACCCCGCGGAUCCUGUGUCCACUACCUUUGAGGAUUAAUCUUAAGCAUACAUUUAAGUCAGUUUGAUCCGAGGGUUGUGGUGCUUCCUAGGAGUCUAUAAAUAAGACCUUGAUCCCCCUUGGGGAGUAUCUAAUCCUAAAACCCUAAUUCGUAUUUUUGGGAGCGAAUUAUCUAGAGAGAGGUCCCUCAAAUGGAUUGUCUCUUUAGGGUUUUAGCAACAAGAGAGAUUGAUAGAGUAUAGGGUGGAGAUAGAAGUGGAGGAAGCUCAGCAUGUCGGUGUCUUCUUCCUUGUAUCUUUGGGAUGAAGUCUCCUAACCCAAGGCUUGGUUCUAGAAUCAUGCAGCAAUUCGACUUCUAAUACUAGUAAGUUAUUGUUCUUAUUGUUUUUUGGCUACGGGUUUAUUUUAUUCGCUUUGCAUUAGGAAUAGAGUAAUCAUUCCUGAAACCCUAACUCGUAGAUAUUCCCUUUCUUUGCUAGAUUUGUGGUAGCAUCGAGGGAAGUGAGAAUCCCCUUGGUAUCUCCAUAAUCCAUGUCCAGUUAGGAGGUAAGGUAGCAUAUAUGGUGCCGGGGUUAAGCACUCUCUGAGGUGUGUCUUUUCUUUAGGUACUCCCCUUAGAACAAUAUAUACAUAGCUUACCAUAGGUUAGAAGAAGACUUUCUCUAUAUAUCACUCAUAUCUCACCAUCUUGUCUUGCAAGCCUAGAGGAUAAGUAUAGAUUUAGGUUAGUCUGAUGCACGCUUUCUCCCAAUGAUAAAAAUAUAAAUAAUAAUGCUCUAGAAUUUCUCCUGGGUGAAGUGCUCACCGGUAUCCAUGCGCUUGCAGAUUAAUCCUCUAUGUGUGUAUCUAAUAUCAACAAUCACCAUGUAAUAAACUCUAUAAUGAAUGUUUGGAUCUUAUUGCAUCUUAUCUCUAUUAUCGCUUCUUUGUAUGAGUGUUGGAUAAAUGUUUAUAUAUUAAAAUUGCUUAAUUAUUAAAUCACCUAUUGUUAACACACAAAUCAUGAUCUAAUCCAUGCAGCAAGAUGGCAUGCUGCCGUUUUGAAUGUCUUAAUGGUUGUUUGCCUUCCCCCGCUUUGGGGUACCCAGGCCAUGGACGUGGAUGUGCCAAUGGUCACGAGCUGGAGGGAGACGAGCUCAGCACAGGAGGUCCUGCCCUGGAGGAGCCCACUAGAGACGCUAGAGCCGCUCAGCCUAGAGACAAUGAUGCACCACCACCACCACCACCACCACCAUCUCUCUCUAAGGUGAUGGACCACUAGACUCGCCUUCUAGAGGCACUAGCAGAUGGCAUGCUAUGUCGCCCUAGAGGUCUGCUCAAUGACUUUUAGAGGAAGCUGGAGGGCUUCCUCAAGCUGAGGGUUCCUACUUUUGACUGUGCUAAUGACAACCCCAUCACCACUGAGGACUCGUUGCGCGAGAUCGAGAAGAAGCUGGACCUCACCACCUACACUGAUGAGGAUUGCGUGGGAGUUGCUGCCCACCAACUCAACGACACUGCACGCGCAUGGUGGUAUAGAUACAAUGAUGCCCAUGACAACCUCAAGAGCAUAUCUUAGGCUGACUUCACCGAGGCAUUCCAUGAGCAGCAUGUCCUUGAGGGUGUCAUGGAUGCCAAGGUGGAGUUCUGUAGCAUCUCUUAGGGAACUUAGAAGGUCUAGGACUAUGCCACACACUUCACUUGCACAAUGAGGUAUGCACCAGAUGAGUCCAACACUAAGAAUAAAAAGAUGUACUUCUUCAAGAAGGGUCUGAGUAUGCACCUCAAGGUGGCCCUCUUAGGUCACACCUGCUACACCCUCUGGGAGAUGGUCAACAAGGCCCUAGAGAUGGAAAGGGAUCGCCUAGAGGCCAAUGCUCAGCGUAAGGAGAAGAAGUGCCAGUUCCUCUCAUGGCUUAGCACCUUAGAGGCCAUGUGCUCACGUGCCCCCUCCGUCAUGCUCAAGCUCUGCUAAGGGUGCCACACAUGCUCUAAAUAAAGGAUGUGGUACCCACACUGUCAACUACCACCACCCCGCUCAGACCCACCCUAUUGUUGACUCUUCCUAGUGUCACUACCUAGGAUUGUCAGUCCUUGGCACAGCACUAGAAAAUGCUAGUGUGACACCAGAAGUGGCAAACGGUUUUACCGCAAGCAGACGGUGGUCAAUGUAGCACUUCACCAGGAGUAUUCUAGGUAUCAUAUUUUCCAUGGGGAACGAGAAGUGACUAACUAGACCAAUUGAGUCGUCAGAUGAUGAUCAAAGGGCUUAGGAUUGGGUGGAGAGGUAUUUCUAGUAUUUGGCUUCUAGCUAAGCUAUCCUAAGUAUACUUGAGAGUUAACUCCCUUCCUACUAUGGCCAAAAGGUGAAAAAGGGUGUGGCAAAACACUUCCCUAGGCAGCUACCAUGCAGGCCAACUAUUAUUUGCAACUUGCCUAACAACACACUGAAGAGAACUCCUAAUGUCCAGCAUAGGCCUGUCACGCUUUGCUGCUGGCGUUCUUCAGGUGCGACAAGAAGUCCACAAGGGCAGACAUAGUCUAGACACCACGUCUACACUAAUUCUACUACUCUAGACCUAGCUAAGGUUUUGAGUACUUCACACAAGGAAAAGCAAUGUGCCAGUAGGCCGGUUGUAUACUUAAAAUAAACUAAGAUAGAAAGUAAAUACUGGAAGUACUCGGAUGAAAGGCAACUAGAAGGAAGACUUACUAGAAGACAAGCAUCCACUGAGUGCUCCUAGAAGAAGACUCCCGACAAGCCGGGACUCCUCCUCGGGGAACUCCUCACUCUCUUCCCUCUAUUCUUAUACUAGCUAAGAGUAGCUCUUCCUAAGAUACAUCAUGCUUAACUAGGCUCUCUAAGGGGGUAUUUAUAGGGGAGAGGUGGAGUAGGGGCUACUCCAGCGCCACAUCAGCGAUCCGUGUGACCUCCAGCAUGCACCAUUGGAUAAACCGACCUUGGAACAGCCAUAUGAUCAACGUGUUGAUGCAAAAGCUAGAUCUGCAAACACAAAGGGCUAAUACCCGAUUUAAACGUUAAGGCGUGCCAGCCGAUUUGACCUCACUAUCGGCAAAGGUGAUAACUCGAAUACUUUGGUCCUGACAACAGCGAUGCGCCCAGAUGCCACGGCCAAGAGGUAUUCACGCGAAACUUGAGAACACGCCAAGCUUAAGUCGACGAAUUCCUAAGAACUCGUAAUAAAAAGGAAAGGUAUGACGAAAUCGUCGAAAAAGUAAAUGCUGGAAUAUGAGUAAAAACUUGUGUUUGAUUGAUUGAAUGAUUCCUGUAUUACAAUGCCCUAGGGUCUACAUUUAUACCCUGCUCAAAGAGCUACAACCAGACACGACUAGAACUCGAAUUCCAAAUUUAAACAGACCCUGUGUACAAAACGAUUUAAAUAACUAAGGAAAACAUAAAACUAUCCUUCCGUGACAAACUGGGACACCACAACGGACCAAUCGGCCAUCUUCGGGUCUUCCUCCCAUGUCAUCGGUAGACUCCCCAUCGGCAGCAGUCAAUACUGGCCAUCGGCAUAAACACAUCACCACUCAUGGACUUAGCCACAAUCAACUGUCUCCUCAUCGGCAACCACCCUCUUCGGCAACUCUCCUGUAGAUCAAUGACCAUUACCCUGUCUUGCCGAUCCACAUUCUACCGAUCCUGGAUACAUGUCCAAAAACGGUGUCAACACAACGGUUGGGGAUUUCCAUCACAUGUUCAUCAUGGGGACGUCGGUGGGAGUGAACCGACUCAAGAUGGGGCCCACAUGUCGAUCGGUCGACCUACACAAUGACAGGUGGGACCAGUGUUGUCUUCUAGAAGGAAUCCCAUGUUGGUUGGUGCAAACCAGGUGGCUGGAUGGCCCCAUAUUGGGGUCGGUCGACCCAACAUUGGUAGAACCAAAAGUUCAUCUUCUACAGGUGACUUCCUGUUGAAAUUCUGAGCACUGUGGUGGUGCUGGGCCCACAAAAGUGGGGUCGGCCAACCCAACUAAUGUGCCCAUCUUUUGCACAUUGUCUCUAGAAGCUGUGAGAUUGAUGAAUGUGAAGUUGAUUUUCCAAUUGGCCAUUCUGGGGUGGUAGUCCAACCUUCAUAUAGAGCUUCUUAACCCUAAAAAGUAGUUGAUUGCACACCUGCUUCCAAAUGAUGACAUGUACAUGUGGAACCAAGUUAUUUGUACCUAAGUCACUAUGUGUUUGGUGAUUUUCUUCCAGAAAGAAUGUAUUGUUGACGGUUUUGAUGGGGUAAAAAUAGGGCUUAUCUACCGUCAAUGUUGACGGUCCUUAAGUACCAAAUUUAAUUAUCAAAUAAACAAAGAAAAGGAUCCAAAUGCAACCAACACCCAGACUUAGGGUUUUAUCUGAUAGAAUUCCACGAGUUUUGGUGUUUGUCUAUUUCUGUAGGGGGUUAUCAGGAAAUAUGGAGGAAAGGUCCACACGUCAGGUUUACAUAGAGAUAUUAACUUGUGCGCCAAUUUUCUAUCAUCUAGAAUAGUCCAGAAGCCACGGGAACGAAUGGGAGGCCGAGCGGGCCCAGGGGCAGGGCACCCGCCCUACCCCUUAGGGCGCCCGCCCUACUUUUUCCACCAAUCAGGCUCCGCUUCGAGGAUUAUGCUCCACCGCCUUUGAGGUGUUGACGGUCCUUAAGUAUCAAAUUUAAUUAUCAAAUAAAUAAAGAAAAGGAUCCAAAUGAAAUAAAGAUCUAGACUUAAGGUUUUAUCUGACAGAAUUCCACGAGUUUUGGUGUUUGUCUAUUUCUGCAGGGGGUUAUCAGGAAAUAUGGAAGAAAGGCCCACACGUCGGGAUUACGUAAAGAUAUUAAUGUGCUGCGCAAUUAUCUUACAUCUAGAAGACUCCAGAAGCCACGAGACCGAAGCGAAGGCGAAACGGGGCCAGAGACAGGGCGCCCGCCCUGUCCUACUGGGCGCCCGCCCUGCCCCUGAGUCCAAUCAGGACUCUGCUUUGCGGGAGAUCUCCACCGACCUAAAGGAUGAAUCUAAACCAUACAAUCUAUGUCGGUUUGAUCCAAGGGCCCAUAUUCACUUGAAGGGACUAUAAAACCAGACCCCCUGGGCUCUGGAGGAGAGAGCCUCUCAACCCUAAUUCAUUGUUCCAUCAAGGGAGAAGAAGCCUCUGAUCAAGAUUAGAGCCACCACAUCAAUUAGACAUCUAGAUUAGCAUAGCUACAUAGGAUUAGAACUAGAAGGAGUCAAUCUUCGAUUGGUUUCCGGAUCUGUCAAGAGGAUUCUUGGUAAUUCUCUAAUUGUGCUUCUAAUUACUUUCUAAUUGUCUUUGUUCUUCAAUAUUAUGAAUAUGACUUUGUUCUACUUCAAUAUAUUGCUUAUGACUUUGCUCUACUUGUUUAUAUUCAAGAUUAUAUUGUUCUUAGUUUAUGAUGGUUAUGUACUUGGCUUAGUUAGAUACGAUCUAUAUACAUGCUUUGGAUCGUAUAGCGUUUAUCCAUCGGAUCCAUGGGUAAAUGAUAGAUAUUGUGUAGGCGUGGUGCUUAUACCGUAUUUAUCUGCGAUUGUACCCAAUAUGCCAGAUCGUGGGGUGGUUCGUGAUAGUGACAGCUUCAUUGAUUCUUAUAUAGUCCCCCUCUCGUGUAUUGGGCUGGCAGAGCAACAUUAUUACAGGGGAGUGAUUGCUAUGUUUCUCAUAUUCCUUGCUAAUAUCACUAUGCAUGGGCGUAGUCUUGUCUCGCAAUGAUUGCUAAGUAUGCUUGCACUAACUAUGAUAAUGCUAGACUAUAUAGUUAAGAAUAACUUAGGGAAUAUUCUUGUAGUUCGUUCUAAUACCAUGCUAAUGACUUUCUAGAGUAUCUAAUUGAGGUGCUUAUCAUAUUUAUUAUGUGGCUAGAUCAGAUUAGUUAUCCUUGUCACUAUUAUUAUUUCAUAUAUCCUUUAUGUGACACUUAUCCCUGUAUGAUGAGUUAGAUAUAAUGUUCUCAAUUAUACAUGCAAUGAUAGAUGCUCAAUCUCAUAUUCUAUUCUGUAAUCAAUAGUGAUGAUUUCUAAUCCCUUCCUAGUGGUAAAAAUAUAAAUAACGAUACCUGGAAUACUUCCCGGUUAAAAUGCUGCAUCGGUAUUAAUCUGUGCGCUUGCAGAUCCCAUUCAUUAUUUAUUUAGAAGAGCAAUUGCAUAUUUCAAUACCGCGUCUCUUAUAUCAUGCUGGGGAUGACAACUUGGCUUAAGUGGUGUGAGGGAUAGGUUUGGCAUUUUUGGCACCGUUGCUAGAUUUAGAACUUAGUCUACUUUUGGUAAUGAUGUUAAGAAUACCCAACAAGCAUUUUUGGCGCCGUUGCCGGGGAAGGUUGAUUACUAAUCAGGAAUGGAAUAAAGGAUUUUGAGUUAUCAUUCGCAUCACUAAUAUGAUUGAGCUUAUCUAUUCUCUCAUACAGUUUUACCCUGAUAUUUUUCUAUUUUAUCUUAUGCAGGGGAAUGUAUGAAUAGAAGACAUCUUCCAGGAAAUUUUGUUGACAAUCCUGAAGCAUUAUUCAAGAAGACGAGAGCCAAGCUAAAGAAAUCAUCAACACUUCAGCAAGAAGCUUCAUCCAAUCAAGAAGAUCACCGGAACUUGUCUUCAGAGUUCGAGGCCAUGGCGAACAAAUCAAUCCGCGAGUUCUCAGCUCCCACUAUGGACAACAUCCGCACUGGACCUGCUGCAGAGAUCGAUGGCAACUUUGAGCUCAAGCCUGGACUUAUCAACAUGGUGCAAUCCAACCAGUUCUGUGGGAAGGCACACGAAGAUGCUAGUGCUCAUUUACAACACUUCCUGGAGAUUUGCAACACAUUCACCAUACAAGGAGUUUCCAAAGAUGCUAUGCUACUUCGCCUCUUCCCAUUCUCACUGUUAGGAAGAGCGAAGCAGUGGUUCUACGCUACAAAGGAGAAGAAUACUACCUGGGCACUCUGCUCAACAAACUUCCUGGCUAAGUUCUUUCCCAUGGGCAAGACUAAUGCUCUCCGUGGGAAGAUUACAAGUUUUCAGCAACAAAAUGAUGAAUCUGUUCCAGAAGCAUGGGAGCGCUUUCAAGACUACAUCCUAGAAUGUCCCCAUCAUGGAAUGGAGAGUUGGCUAUUGAUGCAGACAUUCUAUCAUGGGCUAAGUAAUAGUGCCCGAGAGACCAUGGAUGCUGCAGCUGGAGGAGCAUUCUUAUCACUUACUAUAUCACAAGCCACAGCUCUUGUGGAGAAGAUGGCGUCCAACCAAAGCUGGAAUGAAGAGAGGAGCCAGACACGCAAGAGAGGUGGAGGUAUGCAUCAGCUGAAGGAGGUAGACAUGCUGUCUGCAAAGCUAGACCUGCUCAUGAAGAAGCUCGAUGAUAGAGCUGGAGACAAGAAAGAAGUUAUGCACAUCUACGACUCUCACAUGACUUGUGAGGAGUGUGGAGACACUGGACACUCAGGCAAUCACUGCCCUGAGAUACUUGAGGAUGUGAACUACAUCAUCAACAACAACAACUACUACUACAACCGUCCUCAACAAAAUCAAGGUUGGAAUCAACAGAGGCCUAACUACUCAGGUAAUUAUCAAGGUAACAAUUCUUACAACAAUAACAAUAAUUUUCCACCUUUGAGAGAGUUAGUAUCUAAUCAAGGAAAGCUAAUGGAUAACCUAUCUAAGAAAUUGGCAUCUAAUGAUAAAAUGCUAGAAAAUAUAAAUAAUAGAAUGGAUGUUUCUACUACCAUCAAGAAUCAAAUUAGCUUUAAUAAAAUGAUUGAAUCUCAGUUAAAUCAAAUAGCUGCUGCUGUUCCUACUACUAACCCCGGUAUUCCAUCACAACCGGAAGGAUUAGAAUCUGCAAAUCUUGUAGACAUGUUUGAUGCAGGUAAAUGGAGUAACCCCGUCAAUGAAUUCUCUACUGACCUUCUACCGGUCAAGAGAGGCGAUCCAGGACGCCCCGUCAUCCCGAUCUCCAUCGGCAUGGUGGACUUCCCAGAAGCACUCUGUGACUUUGGCUCCAGUGUCAACAUUAUACCCAGGGUACUCUAUGAAAAAUUCUUUACAUAUCCUUUACUAGAGACAACCAUGUGUUUGCAGUUUGCAGAUCAGACGAUAACUUUCCCAAAAGGAAUAGUGAGGAACCUUUGUAUCCAAGUUGGUACCUUGUAUGCCCCAGUAGACUUCGUAGUGGUAGAGACCGGAAAUGAUGAGAGAGCACCUAUCAUCCUAGGGAGGCCAUUUCUGAACACCACGGGAGCUAUCAUCUACGCCAGUGCUGCCAAGAUCAGUUUCUACGUCAAAGGGAAGAAGGAGACAUUUUUCUUCAAGAACAAGACUACACAAAUUCAAGAUCAAUCCAGACGUGAAUCAAGGAAGAGGACCAACAGGAGAAACAGGAACAAGCAAGUGUGGACCGAGUCAACUAAGAUGGUCACUGUAGUUCAUGGAGGCCAAGAUCACCAACUUAAGUCACCGCUUUUGACCAAGAAGGACGACCCAGGAAUGCCAAGCAUCUACUGCUCCAUAAACGGAUAUAGUUUCUACAAGACGAUUUGCGACACCAGAUCGGGCGUCAACAUAAUGGCCGCAGUCACCUAUCGGCUCUUGUUCGGGACCAUGCCACUAAGACCAACAUACAUUCAGCUCCAGAUGGCAGAUCAGACAUUUCGAGAAGUUAAAGGAAUAGUAACUGAUGUCCCAGUCAAAAUAGACGAUCACUUUGUCUACACAGACUUUCAAGUUGUUGACAUGGGAGAAGAUGAGUACGAUCCACCCAUCAUCCUUGGAAGACCGUUCCUCAACACCGUUAAAGCAAUCAUCUACAUUGGAACCGGAGAAGUCCAUAUGCACUUCCCCUCAGAGAAGGUACGCCGUUAUUUUACUGACCCUGACUAUGUCGUUGAAGAAUCUAAGCAGGUCAGAAAGAAACGCAACCGCAACCAGAGGAGGCAGAUCAUCAAGGACGGAUGGGCAGACUAUGAAGGAGAAGUUGUAAGGUCAGAAGACGUUGAAUUUAAACAGAAUUAUCCAGAGGAGAUUGAAGCACCGAGUCAGGUAUGGAAAAUGAAGAUAACUAUACAAGAAGAGGAGGCGCUGCCGGAAGUACCGACUACGCCACCCAACGAACCUCAGGACGAUUAAGAAAUUGGAGAGUCCCGUUCGGAGGACUUAAAAACACCGAACGCUUUGCCAAGAGGUAAACUUGGUAGUUACCCUUUCCCUUUCAGUUAUUUCAAAUAGUUUAUUUAGUUAAUCAUGCUUAUGCUGUCUUAAAAAGAAAAUAAAAAAUGUGAAAAACUGUAAGCCCCAUGUGAGUAUACGAGUGGCAUAAAACCCAUAAGUACAUUCACUGUGGUGGCAUAAAAUAAAAUAAAUAUUUUUUCUGCUUUAUAAAACAAAAACAUAAAAACAGGGAGUAACAUUUAUUAAGGAGUCUCAACAUAAUAAAGGCUAGAUAUUUAUGCUAACACUUAAUCAGUUCCACAAGCUUUGUUGUCUAUUUGAGCUCCACAGAAAUUUAAGAAUCAAGAAGACUGGCAGACGGAGGACUUUCUAAUCGCUGUCAGAAUGCUGCUGACUUUCAAAUACACCUCUACCACCUGCCAGCUACACCAAGAGAAAUUACGUCAAAAUUCAGCUUGGGGGAGAGCACCCCCAUUUAUCACGAUAAAUAUUUCUAUCUAUCUUUAUACUUAUAUUAUUUUAGAAUAUUAAAAUACACAUAAACUAUGGGAAAACCAAAUAAAGAUUUUAUGCUUAUAUAUAUAUAUUUUGCUUAGUGUGUUUAAUAAAUAAAUAAAGUGGCUAUGCUAAUCUGUAUCUAAAUAAAACUUAAGCAUGGAUAUGAUAAAUAGUUGCUCUGCCUAAUUUGCAAAUUUUAAGUUCUCUCUCAAGUUUAGAUAUAACUGUUAUAAUUUAAAGCUUGCUCUAGACCUAAACUUGUGGGAUGAAAACUUGAUCUGAAGUCUAAGUUGUUAACGGAUAUGAUAUGGGAAGGUUGAGCUGCUGUUUAUCUGUUUCUAGAGAUGCUAGAAUUCUGGAGAAUUUUAUCUUUGAAAAUCUUUAAAAUGUUGCAUGAUGAGUUCCUGUAUGAUGAGAGUUUAAAUUCCUACCACAGCCAUAUAUACAUGCUUGCUAGACUUUGAGCCACACAUUUAAUAUUUACUGCUUAUGAGCAUUGAGUGUGGUCAAGCUGUGUAGACCCUUAGGAGCUUGUCAUGUGGUUAAAUCAAGAUUCACUUGCACGUUCACUCAUAUAUGCUACUUCUACUCCGGAAGUACCAUCCACAUAUAUCCAUUCAUUUCCAUCUCCAGAACCACCUAAAAAUAUUCUACUCCUAAUCCGGGAGAGAAUAACCAAAAAUAUUUCUAUUUUCCCCUUGUGAAAUAAAUGCUCAAGUUAUCUUGUUACUACCACUUGCUAUAUUAUCUCAAGAGAUGAGUGCUCUAAAAAAAAUAAUAAUAUACGAGGAAAUAAAAAGGAGCAAGUGCUCGGAACCUCGAAAGAAAAGAAAAGUGAGACGAGAGGUAAAAAUGGACAAGUGUCCGACAGUAGAAUUAGGGGUACAAGAUACCCACCUGAGAGAAAAGAAAAAUAUAGAGCAUCUCAUUCUCCUCAUCAAGUUUCAAAAAGCAAGGAAGGUAUGUAUCCCCUCAAAAGAGCAAAAGUAGAAUUAGACUUCCACCACCAUUGUUUUCACCAUUGUUAUCACCAUCAUCACCAUACACCAUUCAUUCGCCACACAUGCACAUCUUGAUUUGGCUUAUUGAUUUGUUUCUUUGGAUCCAUGGUUUGACUAUAAAUGUCUUGUAAGUAUGUAUACUUUAUCUCCCACCUAUGAGCUCCAGAUAUUAAAGCCUUAUUAGAGUAGGGUGAGAGAGAAGGCAAUGUCACUAUGCCUCAUACCACAAAUACUACAUAUCUUGAGAGAAGGCAUAUACCAUCAAUGCCUUGGUAAGGAUCCAAAAAUACCACAAAAGAGAGACCUGAGAGAAUCAUACAAGGAAUUUCUGAGUUUUAUUUGAAAAUCUGCAAAAACCCCAGAGCUAUAGCUGAUCAAGAAUAAGAGACAAGGCACUUGGCUAGACUGUUCUAUCUUUUAACCACUCAAGACAGAAGUGACAGUUACAAGUCCCAUGGUGAAGGUAAAGUAAGUAAGUUUUAAGUCUUGACAGUUUACUCUUACUCAGAGAUGAGAUCUUAUUUAAAAGCAUAUGUACCGUCAAAUUUUUUUUGUAAAAAAAAGAUAUUGCAACUACUUAUGAUCCAUAGCUGAGUCUAUCCUUGCUCAGGGACAAGCAAGAGGUAAGCUUGGGGGAGUUUGUUGACGGUCCUUAAGUAUCAAAUUUAAUUAUCAAAUAAAUAAAGAAAAGGAUCCAAAUGAAAUCAAGAUCUAGACUUAAGGUUUUAUCUGACAGAAUUCCACGAGUUUUGGUGUUUGUCUAUUUCUGCAGGGGGUUAUUAGGAAAUAUGGAAGAAAGGCCCACACGUCGGGAUUACGUAAAGAUAUUAACGUGCUGCGCAAUUAUCUUACAUCUAGAAGACUCCAGAAGCCACGAGACCGAAGCGGAGGCGAAACGGGGCCAGAGACAGGGCGCCCGCCCUGUCCUACUGGGCGCCCGCCCUGCCCCUGAGUCCAAUCAGGACUCUGCUUUGCGGGAGAUCUCCACCGACCUAAAGGAUGAAUCUAAACCAUACAAUCUAUGUCGGUUUGAUCCAAGGGCCCAUAUUCACUUGAAGGGACUAUAAAACCAGACCCCCUGGGCUCUGGAGGAGAGAGCCUCUCAACCCUAAUUCAUUGUUCCAUCAAGGGAGAAGAAGCCUCUGAUCAAGAUUAGAGCCACCACAUCAAUUAGACAUCUAGAUUAGCAUAGCUACAUAGGAUUAGAACUAGAAGGAGUCAAUCUUCGAUUGGUUUCCGGAUCUGUCAAGAGGAUUCUUGGUAAUUCUCUAAUUGUGCUUCUAAUUACUUUCUAAUUAUCUUUGUUCUACUUCAAUAUAUUGCUUAUGACUUUGCUCUACUUGUUUAUAUUCAAGAUUAUAUUGUUCUUAGUUUAUGAUGGUUAUGUACUUGGCUUAGUUAGAUACGAUCUAUAUACAUGCUUUGGAUCGUAUAGCGUUUAUCCAUCGGAUCCAUGGGUAAAUGAUAGAUAUUGUGUAGGCGUGGUGCUUAUACCGUAUUUAUCUGCGAUUGUACCCAAUAUGCCAGAUCGUGGGGUGGUUCGUGAUAGUGACAGCUUCAUUGAUUCUUAUAUAGUCCCCCUCUCGUGUAUUGGGCUGGCAGAGCAACAUUAUUACAGGGGAGUGAUUGCCAUGUUUCUCAUAUUCCUUGCUAAUAUCACUAUGCAUGGGCGUAGUCUUGUCUCGCAAUGAUUGCUAAGUAUGCUUGCACUAACUAUGAUAAUGCUAGACUAUAUAGUUAAGAAUAACUUAGGGAAUAUUCUUGUAGUUCGUUCUAAUACCAUGCUAAUGACUUUCUAGAGUAUCUAAUUGAGGUGCUUAUCAUAUUUAUUGUGUGGCUAGAUCAGAUUAGUUAUCCUUGUCACUAUUAUUAUUUCAUAUAUCCUUUAUGUGACACUUAUCCCUGUAUGAUGAGUUAGAUAUAAUGUUCUCAAUUAUACAUGCAAUGAUAGAUGCUCAAUCUCAUAUUCUAUUCUGUAAUCAAUAGUGAUGAUUUCUAAUCCCUUCCUAGUGGUAAAAAUAUAAAUAACGAUACCUGGAAUACUUCCCGGUUAAAAUGCUGCAUCGGUAUUAAUCUGUGCGCUUGCAGAUCCCAUUCAUUAUUUAUUUAGAAGAGCAAUUGCAUAUUUCAAUACCGCGUCUCUUAUAUCAUGCUGGGGAUGACAACUUGGCUUAAGUGGUGUGAGGGAUAGGUUUGGCAUUUUUGGCACCGUUGCUAGAUUUAGAACUUAGUCUACUUUUGGUAAUGAUGUUAAGAAUACCCAACAUGAGGAUCAAGGAAAACCAUGCGAUUAAGGUCGGUUUGAUCGGACGGCCCACAUUCAUUUGAGGGGGCUAUAUAAGCAGGGCCCCUAGCCCCUGGAGAAGACACCCCUUGAUCCCUAUUCAUUAUUCAUAGACAGAGCAAAAGCUAGGGUUUGCAGAUGAGAGCUCUCCUCUCAUCUCUAAACUAGAGUAGAUCUAGAUAGUAGCGAGAUGGAGAGCGAGGGAGGAUUGGAGGAGAGGCCGGCCUGUCGGUUCUUCCUCCGGUUGUACUUCGCUAUGAUUAAGCUCUAAUCAAGCUUGCUCAUGGGAUGACUCGGGUAAUCUACUUCUAUUUCAUUAUGCAAUUACUAUUCAUGUUUUUUGGUUCACAACUCCUUUGAGUACUUUUAAUCUAUAGGACCCUAUAGGUUAGAGUUGUACUGUAGGUGUAAGCGUGGUGCUUAGACCUAGAUUACUUGUGGAUAUCCCCUGUCUAGUCGGAUUGUGUGGUAGGCCGCGUAGGUGACAGUUACGUUGGUCCCCUGUAGUCCACCUCCCAUUAGCAGGACUGGUAGGGUUUAUCGGCCUAUGGAUAAGCAUCCUUUGUGGUGUAAUCUUAUCACGUGGUUCGUCCCAGACAUAGACAUACCCCUUCGAAGUAGAGAAACCAUAGUUAUCCUCUUUAUUCUCCUACCAUCGCCCAUAUACUUGAUUGCUCUACUCUCUAUUCCCAUAUUAUCACCCAUUGUUAUCUUACCUUUAAUAUUGUUCUUAUUCUAUUCUGCCAUCUUUCCUAUUUACACCUAUCUAUCUAUCUAGGUUAAGUUAGAGUGUAGAUCAGUUCUUCCGUUUCCCUGUGGAUACGAUAAAACCUUUAACCGGGUAAAAGCUACAACGGUAUCCGUGCGCUUGCGGAUUUAUCUGUGUGCGUAUAAAUACCAUAGUACACUCUAGUGCCAUGCUAGGGAUGACAACCUAGUAUUCAAAUGGUGUUAGCAAGUGUCAACAGUCAACACCCAUACUGAGUACUAGCACGUGGAAGGCCACUGCACCCACCUCCACAGGUAGUGUUCCUUUCGCAUGCUUCAACUGUGGUGACCCUUCAUCUUCAAAAAUAUUCUAUACCAUAAAUAUUCAUUUGAAACCACACAUGCACAUCUUGAUCUAAGGGUAUGGUCUCCCCUCCGAGGAUCCUAGUUUGACUAGACAAUAUAUGCAAGGUAGUUUGUUGUAUCCUUGAAUUACCUUUAGCUCCACAUAAGCCUUAGUUAUAAGGAGUGAAGAGAGAAGGUACAAUGAUUAGUACCUUAGAAAGAAAUCCACAAAUACCAUGAAUGAGAGACUUGAAAGGAUCAUACAAAAGAAUCUUUAAGAUUCAUUUGAAAAACUUUGGAAAACUCUAGAAAGAAGGUUGAUCAAAGAAUUUAGAGUAGUGCUUGACUAUAUUGUUCUGUCUUUCAAUUACUUAAGACCCACAUAACAGCAGUGAGCUCUAUAGUUGAAGGAAACAUGGGUAAAUUUGAAGAUUGAACAGUUUAUUCAUUGUUUGGUAGAAUAAUUCCUUUUUGAAUAUUUGUGUACCUUUAAAUUGUGAAAGCAUUGCAGCAACUCCUAUACAUCACAGUAAUUUGCUAAGGGAGUAGCAAAAGGCAUGCUUGGGGGAGCUUGUUGACAGUCCCUAACGUCAACAUUAAACUUUCAAUUUAUGCACAACAUAAUCGCAGAAGAGUUAUUAAUGCAUAGUUGUAGUGAUUAAUCUAACAAGUUCCAUGAGUUGUGUUUCUCUUACCUAUUUUGUAGGAUUAUUGACACUUCACCACAUAAAAGUGCUAUAAAUGAUGUUAUAGAGCAUACCAUUGUAAAGAGCUUGUCAACAUGAUAAAAACGGACAUAUCACUUGUUAUAUUUGGAGUCCAAAUAAAAGAGUCCCCGAUGGAUAUGACCAAGAAUUCUCUCGAAUACUCCGGAAGAAUUACCAAACAAGAGUUUCGUGGACUGACAUGACAAUUUCCAUAGCUUUGGUGAUUUGUGAAUUUUUAGGGAUUAAAACAAUAUAAUCCAAGGAAGAGUAGGAGCCAAGGAACCAAACCAAAUCAUGUUGGAAUUUUGCAAGAAUUGACAGGAAGGUUAUAGGGGACGCCAAAAGACACAAGAAUGAGACGAGAGCAUGGUGGUAGACAAGUGGGGCCGGCCGGCCACACCUGCCAGGCCGGUCGGCCUGGGCCCCUCUAGAAGCGACUUUUGCUUCGCGUGACGGCUUCUAACUGACUUCUACGAUGCAUCUCGACCCUUGUUCUAUGUCAGUUUGAUGUAACAGCUGCAGUUCAUCCCACAAGGCUAUAUAAGCAAGGGUAGACCCCACUAAGGCAUCAGAGGAUCAGAUAUCUCAUUAGUUGAUCUCUCAUUGAGAAGGCUAGAGAGAAAAGCUAUGGUUUCCAAAUAGAAGAUUAGAUCUCCACUUAAAGUUUAGGGUUAGAUCUAGUUAGAUACAGUAGAGUUGAGCGCUGUUCAAGAUUUUGGAUCAACAUCAGAAGAUUUGGUAAUAUUUAUCAUUAUAUCUUGUAAUUAUGACUUUAUGCUACUUGAAUAUCAUUAUGUUCUUGUUUAUUCUGUUCUUAGCUUAUUCUAAUUCUAUCUUUGAUAUAGUUGUGUUUGAUAAUAAGUUUAGACAUAUGUUUGUAGAGUCCUAGUUCAACUCUAGAUUAGAUUAGGUGGUAGAGGUAAUGUAGACGUGGUGUCUAGAUUAUAUUUACUUGCGAAUGUACUGUAUUUUCUAGGCCAUAUGGUAGAUUGCGAAGUUGACACCUGGUUACUUGGGGGAAGGAUUGCUAUGUUCUUGAAUUCUCUAAAGUAAUAUUCCUUAUGUUUAGAUGGCAGAUUGAUUUUUGCUAUAAAUGAUAAAGAGUAAAAUAGAAGACAUGAGACUUAGUGGAUAGGAUAAUCUUUAAUUGUGUCGCUUUAUUCUACCCUACUUGAUCCUACGAGUCAUCUCUAAUUAUUGAUUCCCUAUCAUUAUCUCAUUAUUAUUAUUAUUAUUAUUAUUAUUAUUAUUAUUAUUAUUAUUAUUAUUAUUAUUAUUAUUAUUAUUAUUAUUAUUAUUAUUAUUAUUAUUAUUCUACCCUACUUGAUCCUACGAGUCAUCUUUGUUUAGAGUAUAUAUUUGUAAUUCUUAUAGCCAUAUCAAUUUUAUCUUCUAGAUCCCUUCUAGGAGCUCCCAGUGGUAAAAUUAUAAAUAACGAUACCUAGAACUUUCCUGGGUGUAAUGGUACAAAGGGAAUAUUUUAUUUAUGUGCUUGCGGAUAACAUUUGUUUCAUAUUUUAUAAGUGCUAUGGUUAUAUGUAUAACCAUAUUUCUUAUGUCGUGUUAGGGAUGACAACCUAGCGAGUGCAGCGUAAGAGAUGACAACAACAGACCCAGAGGAGCCAACGACUCAGGAGUUCAACCCUGACUACACUGAGGACCUCGAGGACGACCUGCCAGGUGCCGCAUCCCUACCAACCUCAUAGAAUCUUAUUAGUCAUGCCAUGAAUCAAAAAGCUAGCGCUUUACUUUUAUGUAAUGAAACUGUGAUAGGUUGCAAGGUAGAAAUGCUUGUGAGCCAUUACCUUUUCGCAACCUAUUCCCCUAGUUACCCGCUGCUAGGAUAGAUGCUCGCAUCUUACUUCUGUUACUCUACUUUGCAUUAUACCUAUGAUGUGAUGCUUGGUGGAUGGUUGUUGGAACCAGAUAAGGCACGUGGUGCCAUUAAACCUGAUAACAGACAUGGAGAGAUCUUGGCAUGUGUUUUGGGUGCAUGGUUAGAGUUGAGUCGAUCGACUAGGAAUAAACGAUGAGUCUUGGGACAAGUCAUGUCACGGAAUGCUGCCUCGGCAUUUCCCGAGACAGGUACCUGUGGUGGGUACAAGUAUUAUGGAGAGAUCCCAGGGUGGACUGUCUUUGUGGGAUGAAGUCCCAGGAUGGAGGUGCUGUUUAGCAUGGGGCAUAGGAUGUUUCAUCGAUCGGAGCAUCUGUUGGCCCCACAAGAAGAUGUCUUGUUUGGUCCCCCUAAGGACUCAUGUGUUCUAGGAACCUGUUCAUAGGAAUCCUUGCACCCUCACUCUCUUUCAUGGGACGGGGACUGAAGUAUGACCAGCUAGGGCAGUGCCACUACUACUAGGUUGUUAGUGGAUAGUGUAGGGAGGUAUGGGCAUGGGUCCCAUACCCUCCUAAGAUAGCAUAGUGACAUUAGGGGCCUGGUACUACAUCUUACAAUCUUAUCAUGUCGGUGGUACUCCGACAUGGCCCCAGUUCUGAGUGGUAGGGUGGUAUCAUGUUUAGUUGGAAGGCAGCCCGAUAUCAGCCUAGAUGAGGUGGAACAUCAAUGAUGGUGAUCUUGUGACUUGUGAGUGGUGUAAAACUCUACAUAGUUUCUUGUUGAUCGAUCGAUACAUACGCCGUUCUUCGGCUAUGGACCUUUCUUAUGUUUCAGCUUCACUUGACUAAAGAGAGUAGUUUUUUCUACCUUUCCCUAGGUUUGUGUUAUUUUUGGAGUUGGGCACUGAGGCAAGGCACAAGCGGGAGUCGUCCUUGCCGCCUAGAGAGCGAGAGUGUGGUGAGAUGUGUGCUGGGAUGGGAGAAUGUUUGGAGAAGUUGGAUUAAAACUUGAUGAAAUAUUAAAAUUGUGACUUACUCGCAUAGGAUGCUACAACCAUAAAUUAGGCCCCUUUUGGCACAUAUCUUUGCAUCCCACCUACACAAAGGUUCACAAAAGCAUAGGGUGGGAGCCAGUGGCCAGUACAAAUCGUACCGAUACAUUGGAACAGGUUCUGAGCCCGAGUACAACUACGUGGGUGAUGACUAGGAGGAGUAGCCGUCUUAGCCUAUGCUCAAGUUUGGAGGAUCUAGAGUUUGCUCUGUCGCUUCUUACCUAGAUGUUGUUCCAAAUGCUGUGUGUGAGUCUGAUUCCACCAAGUGGCAUUGUAAUAAUCAGUAAACCUCACUUGAACUCUCCUUUGUGCGUGUAUGACUCGUAUAAUAUCUGAAAUCUGGGUAUUUCGAUUGAACACUUUCGCAUGUCAAUCGUUUUACAUCUCGAAUCCAUGGAUUCGUCAAUGCACCCACCGAAUACUACUACUGCUGGCCACUAGAUCCGUGGAUGCUUUCUGCUAUUUUGCUUCUUUGAAAGUCUAGCUUGUCUGGAAUACAGCUUGAAAUUGAUGCGUGAGGAAACUAAGUUGUUACAAACAAGGCUUUAGUUCCACCUUACUAAUAGAAGUAAGAGCAACUCCAAAAGACUCUCUAUAUCAUUUUCUAAAUGCUAGGAAUAUAAAUUUUGGUGCAAAACUACCCUCCAAUAACUUGUCUAAAUGGUUAUCUAAAUAUAGCAAUAUUUUAUUCGAAAUAUUUCAUUAGGCAAAAAUAGAAGACGAGAAUGACUCUCUAGAGUGCGCGAGAGAAUAGAAAAACUAUGGUAGAAACCAGUUACUUGGUGUGGGGGUAUAAACCCCUAUACCCUUACGGCUAGACUUGGGCCAGGAGGCUUGGCCCAUCACGAGAUAGUUUGAGGCUUGAUCCAACUGCUCGGAGUCUCACCAAGGAAACAAGACGCGGAGAUCAAGCCAGAUUCUAGUCGGUUAGAAUAGGAAUUGAUAUCAUGUUAUCUAUGGCAAUUGUAACCAACUAGGAUUAGUUUCCAGAUCUGUAACCCUGCCCUCUGGACUAUACAAAGAGAGGCAAGGGACCCCCCUAGAACAACAUCUCAACUCAACACAAUUCAAUCCACAGCAAUAUAAUCAGACGCAGGACGUAGGUAUUACGCCCAUACGGCGGUCGAACCUAGAUAAAAUCCUUAUCUGUGUCUUGCGUCACCAUCGAGUUCGUAGCUUGCGCACUUGUCUGCCGAUAAACUACUACCGUGGGCAUACCCCAAGGUAGACUGUCGACUAGCUUUCGUCGACAGUGGCACGCCAGGUAGGGGGUGUGCGUACAGCUUCCUAGACGAACAAGAUGGUCAUCGUCCUAGCUUCCACGACCGUGGCUGAAGGUCUCACAUUCACCGUCGGGCAGAUCACUUGGACAACUCGCGGCGAUGGCCUUACGACCACGACUCUAGAAGAAACCCAGAUCCAAUCUAGGACAGCAGAGGCGUCGACUCCGAUCACGCCAACUCCGAGGACUUGACCUCCGCUCCCUCGCUAUAGGGCAAAGCGAGUCGACAACUCGGAUCUUCUUCAAGCACUCGAUCGCACCGACCACAAACUUCUCGAAGCCUCCAGCCUAGUGGAUUCGAUUUCACGCAAGCCCGAUCACGCGACAACAUCAAAUUUUUCGACUCCCGUCGACCAACUCGUGUCGCCACGCACGAACGACUAGAGACAUCCCUGACGAUAACAUCAACCACCACGGGACGUACUGUCAAGCUCAAGAUAGCUUCCCCAGACCCAAACUUCCCUCAUGGUCUGAGCAACGCGGCCGAUCAAUUUUCGCGGCACACCCAAUCCCUAUUCGGGAACAUGGGCUCGUCACCGAGCCACAACAGGCGAGCAGCCCAUUGUUGAUAUUUAGUAAUGCCAUUAGGAAAUGAUCCGCAAGCGCACGGAUAUCGGUGAGCAUUUCACCCGAAAGGUUAUCCAGAGUAUCGUAUUUAUAUUUUUACCACUGGGAGAAAGCGUGCAUCUGACUAACCAAAUCCAUUGCUACUACCCUUUAGGCUACAAACAAUGUGAUUCGAUGUGAGCGAUGUAUAGAGAAGACUUCAACUGCACCCUCGUUCUAACCUUGGUAAGGAUGAUCUACUAUUCUGUUGGGGAGGCUCACAGAAUCUAGACACCACAGAGGAUGUUCGACCUACACCUAUAAACCCUAUCGAUCCUACUAAUGGGAUUAUGGGCUACCAAGGUAACUCGAAAAUGUCAUGUUCCUCGCUACUACCACGGUCCGGCUAGACAGGGGAUCUAUGAGUAUCCUAGCCCAAACACCACGUUUACACUAGAGAUGAUUACUCUAAACUCUACGCGAAGAGAUCAAAGUAAACUCAUAAACCAAAGAACAAUAAAACAAAGAACUUACUAGAAUUUAGAAGUCGAAAUACUGAAGAAUCCUAGGAGCAAGCCUCGGGUUAGGAGACUUGAUCCCGUAGGUACAACCUCGGAGUAGACACCGACAGGCCGGGAUUCCUCUGAUCUACACCUCCACUCUAUCUCUCUCAAUCUAGUAGAACUAAUUCUACUCUCACAUUGGAUGCUAAGCCCUAUGAGGUUGGAACCUUAAGGAACCUCUCUCUCUGAAUCCUCUCUGGAAAAUAUGCUAAUGAAUAAUGAGGAUUGCCUCCUCCAGGGGCCAGGGAGCCUACUUAUAUAGCCCCUCCAAAUGAAUAUGGGCCGUCGGAUCAAACCGACAUUAAUCGCACGGUUUUCCUUGAUCCUUUAGGUCGGUGGAGCAUAAUCCGCGAGGUGGAACUUAAUUGGUUGAGACACCUGGGCGGGCGCCCAAGGGGGAGGGCGGGCGCCCUACCCUCGGGCCCGCUCGGCCUCCCGUUCGUUCCCGUGGCUUCUGAAAACUUCUAGAUGAUAGAAAAUUGCUUGGCACGUUAAUAUCUAUAUGUAAACCUGACGUGUGGGCCUUUCCUCCACAUUUCCUGAUAACCCCCUGCAGAAAUAGACAAACACCAAAACUCGUGGAAUUCUGUCAGAUAAAACCAUAAGUCUGGGUGUUGGUUGCAUUUGGAUCCUUUUCUUUAUUUAUUUGGUGAUUAUAUUUGGUAUUUAAGGACCGUCAACAAACUCCCCCAAGCUUACCUCUUGCUCGUCCCUGAGCAAGGACGUACUCAAGAGUUUCUACAGUGGUUUCAUGCCUUAAAAGUACACAUGCGUUCAAGCAAGAUCUCAUCUCUGAGUUAGAGUAAACUAUUAAGGCUUAAAACUUACUAAUUUUGCCUUUCACCAUGGGGCUUGCAACCAUCACUUGUGUCUUGAGCAGUUAAAAGAUAGAACAGUCUAGUCAAGAGCCAUGUCUCUUGUUCUUUGAUUAACUAUAGCUCUAGAGUUUUUGUAGAUUUUCAAAUAAAACUCAGAGAUUCCUUGUAUGACUCUCUCAAAUCUCUCUUUUGUGGUAUUUCUGCAUACUUACCAACGCGGUAAUGGUAUAUGCCUUCUCUCCAAGUAUGUGGUAUUUUUGGUAUGAGUCAUAGUGAUAUUGCCUUCUCUCUCACCCUACUCUAAUAAGGUGUUGAUAUCUGGAGCUCAUAGGUGGGAGAUAAAGCAUACAUACUUACAAGACAUUUAUUGCAUAGUCAAGCCAUGGAUCCAGAGAAACAAGUCAACAAGUCAAAUCAAGAUGUGGAUGUGUGGCGAAUGAAUGGUGUAUGGUGAUGAUGGUGAUAACAAUGGUGAAAGUCUAAUUCUACUUUUGCUCUUUUUAGGGGAUACAUAACUUUCUUGCACUUUGAAGCUUUUUGAGGAGAAUGAGAUGCUCUAUAUUUUCUUUUUCUUUUAUCUCAGGUGGGUAUCUUGUACCCCUAAUUCUACUGUCGGACACUUGUCCAUUUUUACCUCUUGUCUCACUUUUUCUUUCCUUCG